AUUGAACGCUGGCGGCAUGCCUUACACAUGCAAGUCGAACGGCAGCACGGGGCAACCUGGUGGCGAGUGGCGAACGGGUGAGUAAUGCAUCGGAACGUGCCAUUGAGUGGGGGAUAACGUAGCGAAAGUUGCGCUAAUACCGCAUAUUCUGUGAGCAGGAAAGCAGGGGGACCGCAAGGCCUUGCGCUCUUUGAGCGGCCGAUGUCAGAUUAGCUAGUUGGUGAGGUAACGGCUUACCAAGGCGACGAUCUGUAGCGGGUCUGAGAGGAUGAUCCGCCACACUGGAACUGAGACACGGUCCAGACUCCUACGGAGGCAGCAGUGGGAAUUUGGACAAUGGGCGCAAGCCUGAUCCAGCCAUGCCGCGUGAGUGAAGAAGG
rnacentral:rRNA from 1 species